UCUUCUUAAAAUACGCCGUGGCGCUUACCAACACGCGGCUACGAGGUGGACGGACCCCCCGCUUAACGUGUAUGCGCUAACUUGCCAUCAUCCUGCUCGAUGUUUUAUUAUUCUUUAAAAACGUAAUUUAAAAAAACACAAUAAAAUACAUUAAUAGAAUAAAAAUACAUUACAAGUUUAACGGCAAUAUCCCAAACCAAAUGGCCCCCUAUCGGCAACACGUGGCAUAAGCAUGUAUGGUGUAUAGAGAUAAGCCAUCGACCAAUCAGAAUAAAGGAUACGCCCCCCUCCCACUUAUGACGUCAGAAGCGGAGCAAAAUUAAGUUCCGCCCAAGGUACCACAUAAUAUCGCUCUUGUGCUUGUUUAAAUUCAGCAUUUGCUCUUCUGAUUCUUUUGGGCAUGUUUGUACUUGUUUAAAUCCCGCCUGCUUUUCUUUCAAAAAAUACACCGUGGCGCUUGUGCCUACUAACACGUGGCUAUGGCCAGACGGACCCCCCCUGCUAGACGUGCAUCUUAGCUUGCAUUAAUCCUGCUAUACGUUUCAUUAUUCCUUAAAAACUAUAAUUAAAACACAUCUAAUGUAUUUUUAUUCUAUUAAAGUUUAAUGGCAACCCUUACCUCCCAAACCAUAUGGCGCAACACGUGGCAUAAGCAUGUAUACCAUAUAUGGACAUAACCCCUCGACCAAUCAGAAUAAGGGAUACGCCCCCUCCCGCUUAUGACAUCAGAAGCAGAACCAAAUUAAGCUCCGCCCAAUGUACCACCCAACAUCUCUCUUGUCCUCUACUACCUGGAGGUCACGGUCAUUCUGAAGCAUCUACAGCGACCAGGCAUGAUGGAGCACAUGACCGCAAGUAUUGUAUUCUUUUUGUCUUCACUUUUCCUUUUUGCCAAUUCGCUUAUUAAUCAGUGGGACAUCAUUGUCUUGUGCAGGUCCAGGAGCAGGACCGAAUCCGACCAUGCGGUGAUUGAGGUGAAGGAACAAGAUGUCGGCACGGCGAGUGGCCACAUUUGCAUUGUCCUCUGAGGAGGAGGCAAUAAGCAUAUCAAGCUUGAAAAGAUUUAUUGUCAUUUAUUUCAAAAGCAGAAAUUAAAUCUCUUCCUCUGUCAACAGUAGUUUGACAUCUUCACAUGGGAAGGGCUACAGCUUCUGAGCUCCAAGAGAACCGGGACGACGACUGAUGACCUGGGAGGAGACCUGAACCGGCUGCACCAAAAAUACAAGCUGGAUCCAGUCACCAGCCAAACGGCCCGGCGCAUCUUUGAGACGGCCACCAAGGACUUGAGUGACCAGAAGUCGUCCUUGGUGGCCGAUUACCUCACGCAUUCCACUGCAACGGCUGACAAGCACUACCGGAUAAAAGUCAUGGAAUGUGGUGCUGGCCAAUAAGCUGCUGAAGAAGCUGGCAGGUGACUCAAGCGCUGACUCCGCAGAGGAAGGAUCCAGCUGUUCUGCCCAUGGCGCCGCACGGGAUGCUGCCCUGGCGUCCAACCAGCAGAUGGAUCUCCAGGCAGCAUUCCAUCAGCUCCUUCGAAUCCACCCCGUGACCCUGGAUGGCGACAUCCCAGACAAGACUGUAGGGACACAGGUCGGGCCAGUUUCAGCGACAGCUCUGAGUGCUGGCUGAAGGCCCAGAUGAGGAUGCGUGUCCAGCAUGUCCUGAGUAUUGUUUGUAGCACUAAUUUUUAAAGCACUUUACUGAUAAGCAAUCCUAUCUACAUAGUCUUCCUAACAACAAUUUGCUUUGUUCUUGACAGCACACUUUGGCAGACAGCAGCCCACCGAGUCCCGGGUCGACGCUUGGAUCAGGAACCAAGGCUGGAGAAGCAACAUUCCAAAGCGCAGCCAGCGUCCUCAAGGACUGGAGACCAGUGGGUUCGGUGGACACCGCCAUUGAUUCCAGCCACAUCCAGGAGCUCAUCCACAAGCAGAAGUGGAAGGGACUUGCGGUGGACAUUGCGGGGAAGGGAGUCUGCGCCACCUGGCAGUUCCAGGCUGGUGAGGUGGUAUGUGACCACCACGGGCCGGUAGUCACAGCCACUGAGGGCCAGCGGAUUCAUGAGAGCACAAAGGAAGAAGAAUCCGGCUACAUGUUUUUUUUCAGGAACAGCCAGGGCAUCCACAUGUGUGUGGAUGCUCAUUCCCCUGAGUGUGCCUGUCACCCAGGCAUACAGACCUUUGGCCGGCUGGUUAACCACUUCCGGAAAAAAAGCUAACCUCCGGCCAAGGUUGUACAGCACACCAGAGGGACAUGACAUGAUAAAAAUAAAAGAAAAAUAAAUGUUGGGGAGGAACUUUGAUUAUGGGGUGCAGAGGACAUCAUUCAGGGGAGA